UACGUAGGGACCGAGCGUUGUCCGGAUUCAUUGGGCGUAAAGAGCUCGUAGGCGGCUGCUCAAGUCGAAUGUGAAAACUCGAGGCUCAACCUCGAGCCUGCAUUCGAUACUGGGCGGCUAGAAUCUGGUAGGGGGAUCUGGAAUUCCUGGUGUAGCGGUGGAAUGCGCAGAUAUCAGGAAGAACACCCGUGGCGAAGGCGGCUCUCUGGUACGUGACUGACGCUGAGACGCGAAAGCGUGGGGAGCGAACAGG
rnacentral:rRNA from 1 species